GUGCCAGCCGCCGCGGUAAUACGGAGUGUGCAAGCGUUACUCGGAAUCACUGGGCAUAAAGCGCGCGUAGGCGGGGUCAAAAGUCGGGUGUGAAAUCCCUCAGCUCAACUGAGGACCUGCAUCCGAUACUGCGACUCUUGAGCACGAAAGGGGAGAGCGGAACUUCUGGUGAAGCGGUGAAAUGCGUAGAUAUCAGAAGGAACGCCGGUGGCGAAAGCGGCUCUCUGGUUCGUUUCUGACGCUGAGGCGCGAAAGCUUGGGUAGCAAACGGGAUUAGAAACCCCUGUAGUCC
rnacentral:rRNA from 1 species